rnacentral:pre_miRNA from 15 species
UCCGGCCGCAGGGGAGCCACUGACUAACGCACAUUGCGCUCAGGACCCACUGUGCGUGUGACAGCGGCUACCGUGCAACCGGCCCGCAGCUGG